ACGCACGCUGGCGGCGUGCUUAACACAUGCAAGUCGAACGGUGAACUCCGCUUGCGGGGGGAUCAGUGGCGAACGGGUGAGUAACACGUGGGCAACCUGCCCUCAGCUCUGGGAUAACUCCAAGAAAUUGGGGCUAAUACCGGAUAUGACCGCUGACCGCAUGGUCUGGUGGUGGAAAGAUUUAUCGGCUGGGGAUGGGCCCGCGGCCUAUCAGCUUGUUGGUGGGGUAGUGGCCUACCAAGGCGACGACGGGUAGCCGGCCUGAGAGGGUGACCGGCCACACUGGGACUGAGACACGGCCCAGACUCCUACGGGAGGCAGCAGUGGGGAAUAUUGCGCAAUGGGCGAAAGCCUGACGCAGCGACGCCGCGUGGGGGAUGACGGCCUUCGGGUUGUAAACCUCUUUCAGCAGGGACGAAGCGAAAGUGACGGUACCUGCAGAAGAAGCACCGGCCAACUACGUG
rnacentral:rRNA from 1 species